ensembl:lncRNA CCDC26 CCDC26 long non-coding RNA
GGCUUGACUAAACUCAUUUCCUCCAUCCACAAUGUGCCUCUGAUGUAGUGUUGGCUGAGGCUCCCUCUUGCCGGCUCCUGCUCUUGAAACACACCCAAGUGCAAUGUUCAAUGUGAGUGUUUGGCUUGGCUUAAAUUUGGCCAAAUCAUCUGUACUUUGUUUCAUUUGAAAGCCUUACUUUUUUCUUGCUCUCUCUUUUUCUCUCUCAACUAGUUCAUUCCAGAUGUUUUUGAUUUGUCUUUUUGUGGUCUACUCCACCCAGUUCCUAAAUCAGUAAAUCAUUUUCGUGCUUCUUCCAAAAUCUAAGGAAAGAAAAUGCUCAAUUAGAGAGAAACUGAUUAUAGGUCUCAUAGAGCUUAUACUUGGGGAUGGCUGCUCUCCUCAGGAACUACCUUUGAAAGGUAGGAGAAAAUGUCUUCCAAAUGAGGAUCUUAGAUUUGGCUUCACCAUCCUUUCAACUUUUUAGCAUCUGGACUAGGAGAGUAGGCAAAAUAUUGAUAUGCUAAUAUAAUGCACGUCCAAGCUCAUCCUCUACUUUAAGUCUUGAUAUAUAAUUGCUAUUCUUGCUUGAAGUCGUUCAAUUACUGAAGUGCAAAUAGAAGUUCCCAUUCUAUGAACUCAUAUGUGGUAGCGAUAGAAUGUACUAACAUAUAAUAUUAAUGGCCUUUCUCUCUUUACUGUCACCUUUUACCCUUCUCAGCAUUUUGAUUGUGAUGAUGUGGGUAAGGGCAAAGUGUUUGCUUUAUUGUUAUUAUGCAGGGUGAAGAACUUGUCCUUGGUGGAAAUCACAGACCUGAUAGGCUAGUGAAGGAAUUUAGAGAGAAAACUCAGUAGACUCCCUGAAUUUGGGAAGAGAGUUUUGGAUAUAUUGAGAGCAAAGAUGAGAGAUUGAAGGUAGCUGAUUGUAUAAUAAGCUAGAAAAAAGAGAAGAAAA